rnacentral:rRNA from 1 species
CUCCGGNUGAUCCCGCCGGACCCGACUGCUAUCAGAGUGGGACUAAGCCAUGCGAGUCAACAUAGCAAUAUGUGGCAUACGGCUCAGUAACACGUAGUCAACAUGCCCAGGGGACGUGGAUAACCUCGGGAAACUGAGAAUAAACCGCGAUAGAUCAUUAUGCCUGGAAUGGCUUAUGGUUCAAACAAUUUAUUGCCGUAGGAUGGGACUGCGGCCUAUCAGCUUGUUGGUGAGGUAAUGGCCCACCAAGGCUAUAACAGGUACGGGCUCUGAGAGGAGAAGCCCGGAGAUGGGUACUGAGACACGGACCCAGGCCCUAUGGGGCGCAGCAGGCGAGAAACCUUAGCAAUGUGCGAAAGCACGACUAGGUUAAUCCGAGUGAUUUCUGUUGAAGAAAUCUUUUGUCAGUCGUAAAACCACAGACGAAUAAGGGGUGGGCAAGUCUGGUGUCAGCCGCCGCGGUAAUACCAGCACCUCGAGUGGUCAGGAGGUUUAUUGGGCCUAAAGCAUCCGUAGCCGGCUACGCAAGUCUCCGGUUAAAUCCAGCUGCUCAACAGAUGGGCUGCCGGAGAUACUACAUAGCUAGGGAGCGGGAGAGGUAGACGGUAUUCUGUGGGUAGGGGUAAAAUCCACUGAUCCAUAGAGGACCACCAGUGGCGAAGGCGGUCUACCAGAACGCGUUCGACGGUGAGGGAUGAAAGCUGGGGGAGCAAACCGGAUUAGAUACCCGGGUAGUCCCAGCUGUAAACGAUGCAAACUCGGUGAUGCAUUGGCUUAUGGCCAAUGCAGUGCCGCAGGGAAGCCGUUAAGUUUGCCACGUGGGACGUACGGACGCAAGUCUGAAACUUAAAGGAAUUGGCGGGGGAGCA